GAUGAACGCUGGCGGCGUGCCUAAUACAUGCAAGUCGAGCGAACAGACGAGGAGCUUGCUCCUCUGACGUUAGCGGCGGACGGGUGAGUAACACGUGGAUAACCUACCUAUAAGACUGGGAUAACUUCGGGAAACCGGAGCUAAUACCGGAUAAUAUAUUGAACCGCAUGGUUCAAUAGUGAAAGACGGUUUUGCUGUCACUUAUAGAUGGAUCCGCGCCGCAUUAGCUAGUUGGUAAGGUAACGGCUUACCAAGGCAACGAUGCGUAGCCGACCUGAGAGGGUGAUCGGCCACACUGGAACUGAGACACGGUCCAGACUCCUACGGGAGGCAGCAGUAGGGAAUCUUCCGCGAUGGGCGAAAGCUUGACGGAGCAACGCCGCGUGAGUGAUGAAGGUCUUCGGAUCGUAAAACUCUGUUAGUAGGGAAGAACAAAUGUGUAAGUAACUAUUCACGUCUUGACGUUACCAAAUCAGAAAGCCACGGCUAACUACGUG
rnacentral:rRNA from 1 species